rnacentral:rRNA from 1 species
AUGCAAGUCGCACGAGAAAGUGGAGCAAUCCAUGAGUAAAGUGGCGUACGGGUGAGUAACACGUGGGUAAUCUACCUCUUAGUGGGGAAUAACCCUGGGAAACCGGGGCUAAUACCGCAUAAGCUCGAGAGAGGAAAGCAGCAAUGCGCUGAGAGAGGAGCCCGCGGCCGAUUAGCUAGUUGGCAGGGUAAGAGCCUACCAAGGCAUAGAUCGGUAGCCGGCCUGAGAGGGCACACGGCCACACUGGCACUGAAACACGGGCCAGACUCCUACGGGAGGCAGCAGUGGGGAAUCUUGCACAAUGGGGGAAACCCUGAUGCAGCGACGCCGCGUGAGCGAUGAAGCCCUUCGGGGUGUAAAGCUCUUUCGGCAGGGAAGAUUAUGACGGUACCUGCAGAAGCAGCUGCGGCUAACUACGUGCCAGCAGCCGCGGUAAUACGUAGGCAGCGAGCGUUGUUCGGAGUUACUGGGCGUAAAGGGUGUGUAGGCGGUUCUUUAAGUUUGGUGUGAAAUCUCCCGGCUCAACCGGGAGGGUGCGCCGAAUACUGAGGGACUAGAGUGCGGGAGAGGAAAGUGGAAUUCCUGGUGUAGCGGUGAAAUGCGUAGAUAUCAGGAGGAACACCGGUGGUGUAGACGGCUUUCUGGACCGUAACUGACGCUGAGACACGAA